rnacentral:rRNA from 1 species
AACGAACGCUGGCGGCAUGCCUAACACAUGCAAGUCGAACGAGACCUUCGGGUCUAGUGGCGCACGGGUGCGUAACGCGUGGGAACCUGCCCUUAGGUUCGGAAUAACUCCCCGAAAGGGGUGCUAAUACCGGAUAAUGUCUUCGGACCAAAGAUUUAUCGCCUUUGGAUGGGCCCGCGUUGGAUUAGCUAGUUGGUAGGGUAAAAGCCUACCAAGGCGACGAUCCAUAGCUGGUCUGAGAGGAUGAUCAGCCACACUGGGACUGAGGCACGGCCCAGACUCCUACGGGAGGCAGCAGUGGGGAAUAUUGGACAAUGGGCGAAAGCCUGAUCCAGCUAUGCCGCGUGAGUGAUGAAGGCCUUAGGGUUGUAAAGCUCUUUUACCCGGGAUGAUAAUGACAGUACCGGGAGAAUAAGCUCCGGCUAACUCCGUG